AUUGAACGCUGGCGGCAGGCCUAACACAUGCAAGUCGAACGAGUGGCGGACGGGAGAGUAAUGUCUGGGAAACUGCCUGAUGGAGGGGGAUAACUACUGGAAACGGUAGCUAAUACCGCAUACCAUUGGAUGUGCCCAGAUGGGAUUAACUAGUAGGUGGGGUAACGGAUCACCUAGGCGACGAUCCGUAACUGGUCUGAGAGGAUGAUCAGUCACACUGGAACUGAGACACGGUCCAGACUCCUACGGGAGGCAGCAGUGGGGAGUAUUGGACAAUGGACAAAUGCCUGAUCCAGCCAUGCCGCGUGUGUGAAGAAGGUCUUCGGAUUGUAAGGCGCUUUGAGUUGGAAGGCGUUACCGACAGAGUAAACACCGGCUAACUUCGUGCCAGCAGCCGCAAUAAUAC
rnacentral:rRNA from 1 species